rnacentral:rRNA from 1 species
GAUAAACGCUGGCGGCGUGCCUUAUGCAUGCAAGUCGAACGGUCAAUCGCAAGAAAGAUAGUGGCAAACGGGUGAGUAAUACGUAAGUGACCUGUCCUUAAGUGGGGAAUAACCCGCCGAAAGGUGGACUAAUACCGCGUAAUGUGAUGAGGGUGAUGCUUCAUCAAGAAAGCCGUAAGGCGCUUUUGGAGGGGCUUGCGUCCGAUUAGCUAGUUGGUAGGGUAACAGCCUACCAAGGCGAGGAUCGGUAGCUGGUCUGAGAGGACGACCAGCCACACUGGGACUGAGACACGGCCCAGACUCCUACGGGAGGCAG